AAUACCUUUGGCAGGCUGCUGUCCAUCCUCAUCCCCUCCCAAUUACACAACCAGCCUCCCCCCAAACCCUAGCACGACGCCGCAGCUCUGCCCAGCGCGCCACUUCCGCUGCCCGGCGUCCUCAGCCCCGCUCAACCCAAGCUUUUACAAUUCAUGUUUGUUUUAUACUGGCUGGAGGAGGUAUUGUUAAUAUUUUGCUCUAACAGUUCACUAAAUAAGUGAGGAAGAAACUAUAAUCUGCAGUGACAGUGAGGAAUAAACUACUGAUGAUGAGGAUAACAAUACAGAGUGUGUCGAGUCUGAAGACAAAGUUAUCAGAGUUAUGCUCACUUGGUCAUGUUUCUUUCAGUAUCGACAAUGUUCUUGAACUUUGAUUUAGGUUUGUGGAGUAAUUAAAAAUUCAUGGCAAAUUCACAGAUGAAUGCGGAGAAGCUAAUGAAGAUGGCAGGUGCUGUUCGUACUGGUGGGAAAGGUAGCAUGAGAAGGUAUGGUUGUGAUAUCUCUAGUUUUGAUUUUGCCAGAAACUGAAUAUAAUAAUAGGAUAAACGGUUUCAAUAAGUAAAUAAUAAACAGUUUGCUGAUCAGUUUGAUUUUAACUAAAAAACAGCUUUACAGUUUGUAUAUGAAUGUUAAAACAACUUAUGUAUAUGUGGAUUUUGAAGUACAUAAGCCAAGUUAAUGAGAAUCAAAGAUUGGUUGUUUAAGUUUAUUAUAGUUUGUUGUUGGCCCGGCAACUUUGACCCGGACACCAGAUUUUGGGUCAUUAUGGGCCGUUUUAACGACCUGCUGGGUCACUCUGGGCAUGGCUGAUGUUAAAAGCGGGUCAAAAUGGGCUGUAAUAGAUAUGUCAUCAUGUAUAUGCAAUUUAGUGUGUACAUAAUAUAUAAUAUAAUUUAAUAUUUGAAAAUUUAUUAAAACCCCUUUUUAAACCAACCCAACCCGACCCAAACCCGUUCCAACCCGGACCUGUUCCACCCAAACUCGUUCCAACCCGAACCAAAACAACCCUGACCCAAACCCAUUUUAACCCGCGACGUGACCCAACCUGCCCGUUUUGCCAGGUGUAAUGUUGAUGUAUAUAUAGAAUAGAGUAGGUUGUUAUUUAUUUAUGUUUAUGUUUGUCAAUUAAUGUUGAUUUAAGAUCUUAAUCGUCGAAGAUAAGCAAAGAAAAACACAAGAGAGAGUUUUACAUGUUGAGCUUGUAGAGUUGUAGCCAGGUAUGUUUUAUAUAGGUGAUUGCAUCUUAUUUCAUGACUAAUGACUAAAUAUCGAGUCAAUCACCGAAAAGACAAACUUUAUUGUAGACCAGUUUGGCCGCUUUGACAAACACACGUUUAACUGGUAAUUUGUUUGAUGAUAUUUGUUUUUCAAAAUGGGCAGAUUGAAUAAAAAUGUAAUAAACUUUUGGUUCAAUUUCUGUGUUAUAAUUAUUUAAAUACUUGGUAUAGUCCUUGAAAACCAUCGGUGUUGGUAAACUGAAACAUGUAAUACAACAAGCAGGGGAGGUGUGUCAUCCACCAGUGGUUAUGGCUGAGAAAGUGAUAUUUUAUCUGUAUGCAAGAGGCUAUUUGAAGGCAAGAUCUUUGAAGCAUCAUCUAACUGUGGCUGCUACUGAGAAAGAUGAAAAAUAUAUAUAUAAAUUAAUAGAGCUGAGGGUGAGGCCGAGUCCAAAUGCCUAUCUGGUUUGGGUAUUGCACGCCAACGACAAGCUAUUGUGGAUGGGUUAAGAGACAUCAAAAUAGGCCACUAGUUACAGGUUUACUCCCCACCACUACAACAACAAGGUGGUCACCAGCCCAUGGAUGCAAAUUUGCACUUUUGCAGCACUUUUAAGUCGAAAAGUAGUGAGUGUAUGGACUUGAAGAAAACGGCGUAGAAAUAAUUCUUAGUCAAUAUGUACAGUGAUUUCCCUUUGCCACCUUUGUAGAUAGGCUUUGAUUAGAAGUUUAUGUCUUUAAUUAGUAUUUAAAUUGAAAACUUAUGUAUGAAUUUUGGGUUGGUAUUGUUAAUAUCAUUUGGUUUUUACA